UACGAAGGGUGCAAGCGUUACUCGGAAUUACUGGGCGUAAAGCGUGCGUAGGCGGUUUGUUAAGUCCGUUGUGAAAGCCCUGGGCUCAACCUGGGAAUUGCAGUGGAUACUGGCGAGCUAGAGUGCGGUAGAGGAUGGUGGAAUUCCCGGUGUAGCGGUGAAAUGCGUAGAGAUCGGGAGGAACACCCGUGGCGAAGGCGGCCUUCUGGACAGUGACCGACGCUGAGAUGCGAAAGCGUGGGGAGCAAACAGG
rnacentral:rRNA from 1 species